rnacentral:rRNA from 1 species
GACGAACGCUGGCGGCGUGCCUAAUACAUGCAAGUUGAGCGCUGAAGGUUGGUACUUGUACCUACUGGAUGAGCAGCGAACGGGUGAGUAACGCGUGGGGAAUCUGCCUUUGAGCGGGGGAUAACUUCUGGAAACGAAUGCUAAUACCGCAUAAAAACUUUAAACACAAGUUUUAAGUUUGAAAGAUGCAAUUGCAUCCAUCAAUGAUGAUCCCGCGUUGUAUUAGCUAGUUGGUGAGGUAAAGGCCCACCAAGGCGAAGAUACAUAACCGACCUUAGAGGGUGAUCGGCCACAAUGGGAACGAGACACGGCCCAAACUCCUACGGGAGGCAGCAGUAGGGAAUCUUCGGCAAUGGACGAAAGUCUGGCCGAGCAACGCCGGGUGAGUGAAGGAGGUUUUCGGAUCGUAAAACUCUGUUGGUAGAGAAGAACGAUGGGGAGAAUUAAAUACGCAUCAAGUGACGGUAACUACCCAGAAAGGGACGGCUAACUACGUG